AUUGGGACCAAACUGUAUAUAAUGAUGGAUGACAAAUGAUAUACUCAAGACAAUCUCAUCGAAUCACAUUAACAACGAGUGUGAGUAUGUUGAGUGAAUGGUAAGGAUAUGUUGCCUUUGCGUUUGCGACUGGGAUUCAAAACUUUUUUCCAUUUAGUCAGUCUAUCCACUAGUAUGUCAGUGGGGAACAACAGCAUACUCAGCUGUGGGGCAUUCAAAACUGGGUGUGGCUCUACCAAACAUUAUGUCACCCCGAGCCAAUAGAAACAGUGGUCUAGAGGAUGUCCACUUUAUUUGUUUAAACUGAUUAGUAUUGUAAAAGUUUUUUGACAUGACUAUAAGGCAUAGUAAACACUAUCAGCUGAAUCCAUUCGAUACAAAUACAAUUUUAGAUUUAAGUCACUAUUGUACAUUUUUUAAAAACAAAUAUGACAAGCUUAAUCCACAUUAUGCACCUUUUUGUCACUUGACCAUCAUGGCACAGUAAGAAAACAAGGCAAUAUUAUACAUUCUGACUUCCAAAUGCAGCAACCUGAAGUCACAAUAUCUUACGUCAAUGUCAGCUAGUAGCUCUUUCUUGAAGUCAGACCUAGCCACGAACAGCCCCGUUUCAUCUGCAUGUCAUCGCUCUGAAUCACCAGCCUGGGCUGGACUGUGUCAAUACCCACUUCCUGUCCGGCGGUGAAGGUGAAUUUCAACAGGGCCUGAGCAGAUCCUUCACCACCGCCCAGACAGACUGUUAGGGGCCCGAUCAGAGGGGUCUUCCAGUGUGGCUGCAGCCUGCUGCUCUGCGGAGCCUGAGACACGGCUGCACAUCCCCACUGUGGCUGCCCAGUUUCCGGCAGAUGCCCCAGCACUGAGCCGGGUGGGAUCCUACCACAAAAUGAGGGUUGCGUAAAAAACAAAAAAAGGAUGAAACGGUGAGAAGAGAGGCUCCCUCCCUCGACCUGAGGACCAACUCUUUCCGCUGGCCGGGGCUCAUGGGAGACCCCCGAGGCGCGCUGUGGUCGACAUGUAGUCCGUCUCCGAGCAGAUGUCAACCUUGUCUUCUUUUUUUCGAGCUGCUGUCACCACAGGCCAGCCGGUGUAACGGAUUUCUUCCUCCUGGGCCACGUCGAGCAGCCGUUGCAGUACGUCCAAACGUCUUCGGCAUCAUACCAUUUCUUAAGACAUUGUGGCUUUAGCAAAUGCUUUACAUGGUAAAGUGUUUCGGGUUGUUUAUUUGUAGCGUAAACAUCUGUCAGGGUCGAGAUGUCUUUCACGUCUUCAAAUACUGCUGCAUAGAAAUUCAACUAAAUAAAUGUUCCCCCCCGCAGAUCUGCACAACAUAUUCUAUAGAUCUACGCAACAUAUUCUACAGAUCUGAACAACAUACUCUACAGAUCUAUGCAACAUAUUCUACAGAUCUAUGAAGCCUACUCAACAGAUCUAGCAGCCUACUCAACAGAUCUAGCAGCCUACUCAACAGAUCUACACAACAUAAUCAACAAUAAUGAUGAUAAUUAUAUAUAUUUUUC
ensembl:lncRNA